rfam:Salmo salar isolate Sally breed double haploid chromosome ssa21, whole genome shotgun sequence.
AAUCCACCAGUUUGUAAGUCGCUCUGGAUAGGAGCGUCUGCUAAAUGACUUAAA